rnacentral:lncRNA from 1 species
CAUUUGAGAGCCAAUUGUAAAAUUGUUAGCCGAGGAUCUAAUUUUAGACGGUUGGACAGAGCUAAUCGAGUAACACAGAUCCAGCAGGGUUCUAGAUUGUCUAUUGGAAUCCAUUUCUUCCUCAGUGACCUUAUAGGCUUAUAGGCUUUAGAUUGUAUCUGGCAAUCAUCAUUUUAUCCUAGUAGUUUUUUUUAAUUUUUUUUUAUAUGAGAGUAAAAGAGG